rnacentral:rRNA from 1 species
CCUACGGGAGACAGCAGUGAGGAAUAUUGGUCAAUGGACGCAAGUCUGAACCAGCCAUGCCGCGUGCAGGAAGACGGCUCUAUGAGUUGUAAACUGCUUUUGUACGAGGGUAAACGCAGAUACGCGUAUCUGUCUGCAAGUAUCGUACGAAUAAGGAUCGGCUAACUCCGUGCCAGCAGCCGCGGUAAUACGGAGGAUUCAAGCGUUAUCCGGAUUUAUUGGGUUUAAAGGGUGCGUAGGGGGUCGGAUAAGUUAGAGUUGAAAUCCCGAGGCUCAACUUCGGAAUGGCCUCUGAUACUGUUCGGCUAGAGAGUAGUUGCGGUAGGCGGAAUGUAUGGUGUAGCGGUGAAAUGCUUAGAGAUCAUACAGAACACCGAUUGCGAAGGCAGCUUACCAAGCUACGUCUGACGUUGAGGCACGAAAGCGUGGGGAGCAAACAGGAUUAGAUACCCGUGUAGUC